rnacentral:snRNA from 1 species
GGAUGUGAGGGUGAUCUGGCUGUGAUAUCUGUCACCCUAUUGAUCGCCAGGGUUGAUUUGGCUAACCUGGCUGGCUAGGUGGGUGUCCCCUUCCUAACUGCUCCACGUGCGUCCCUCCCAAAGCUACGUGCUUAGUCGAAGAGGAUGGCUUUCCCCGAAUAGAGACGGACUGGUCUUCGGUUGAGGGUAUACGAGUAGUUGUGCUCCCCUGCUAGGCCCUCCAAACUGCCUCUCAAGAAUACACACUGUUGUGUGUGCUUCAUGGAGAUGAUUCCUGGGGCCUCUGGGGAUAGAGAGCAAGGACUAGCUAAGGGAGGUUAGCAGG